GACAGCGUGGCAGAGUGGUUUGAGUGUUGGACUAAGACUCCGGAGACCAGAGUUUGAUUCUCGGCUCAGCCA